CGGGUAGAGUAACACGUAAACAACCUGCCUUCAGGAUGGGGACAACAGACGGAAACGACUGCUAAUACCGAAUAAGUUCCAAGAGCCGCAUGGCCCAUGGAAGAAAAGGUGGCCUCUACCUGUAAGCUAUCGCCUGAAGAGGGGUUUGCGUCUGAUUAGCUGGUUGGAGGGGUAACGGCCCACCAAGGCGACGAUCAGUAGCCGGUCUGAGAGGGUGUACGGCCACAUUGGGACUGAGACACGGCCCAGACUCCUACGGGAGGCAGCAUG
rnacentral:rRNA from 1 species